rnacentral:lncRNA from 1 species
CUUUUUCAUUGCCUCAAAGGUUCUUCAAACAAACCAUCUUUGGCUCUUUUACAACAGCUAGCAAAUGGACAAAGCCGGUAUUGAGAUCAUUGUAUUACUCCGUUUUGUUAAUGAUUACAUGUAAGAACAAAAUGCAAAAGGAAAACUUGAACUCACAAAAGGUGGAGAGAGGAGAAAGAGAAUUGAAUUUUACGUAAAUUAUAUAUAUAUAUAAAACACCAGAAUGGCUCUGGCCUGAUCUCAUCACUACUCGAUCGAGAUUAGGUUUGGCACUUACUGGGUACCAUUGUGGUGUAUUCAUGCCCUUUUCUGCACAUGCUUUUCAUGUGCAGAUCUAGGUUCUUCUUCUCAGUCAUAUUUCCAGUGAGGCAAGACGAUCCAUAGACUUUGAGGUAUAUCUGACGCGCCCGCAUACUUAGAAAUCCCUCUCUAUUCCUCCCUUAGUUACAGACUUCCUGUAUAUUUCUUUGUUAGAAUUUCUGGAGAUUAGAAACACUAUAUACUACUGUAGCUUGUGAUUUCAUGAGAUUUCGAAUAUUGGCGGUGCUAUGUUCAGUUCGAGAGUGUUAUUAUUGUAUAUGACGAGCGAAAUUUUAAACUCGUUAAUUAUUUUUAUAUGUUAAAUUGUUAGGUUUGUGUCUUUAUUUUAUUUCUUCAAAUUUUGUUAGACUUAUCUAGUGAACACCUCCUUUCCCCUCUUCCCCCCCCCCCCCCCCCCCCCAAAAAAAAAUUUUUUUUUUUUUUUUUUUUUUUUUUUUUUUUUUCCCCUUUCCUUUUUUUUUUUUUCUUUUCCUUCUUUCUUCAUUCUUUCUUUGAAGCAAANCCCCCCCCCCCCCCCCAAAUAAAAAAUAUAUUUUUUUUCCGUUUUAGUUUUUUCAUCUUUUGGUUUGCGGACUCAAAAUUUUAUAAGUUUCAAAGUUAUGAGUUUGUAGGUAUAUGUGCUUGGAAGUUUACUCGUUUAAAAAUUAUAAAGUUUACGGAUUCGAAAGUUCAUGGUUUCGAAAGUUUAGUGAUUCUAAAGUUUUAGCUUCAGAAGGUUGUUGGUUCGAAAGUUUACUGCUUCAUGUUUAUUGUGUCUAAAUUAUUUAUGAAUCUUGAGAAGUUAUUUUUCUUAAUUUGCGUACCAAACACCAUAAAAAUGAAUAAGAUUACUACUUAUUUUCUAAAAAAUAUUUUCUUGAAAAACAUUUUCCGUUAUACCAAACACAUCCUUCAUAUUUGUACAUCUUCUCAGACAUUUUUCUUCUAUUUGAUUCUCAUAGCAUGUUUGGCCAAGCUUCUAUGAGACCAAAAGUACCUUUUGGGUCAAAAGAGUACUUUGUGAAAUUUUUUAGGUGCUUGGUCAAAAUGAAAAAGUACUUCUUUUAUGCUUCUGGGGAAAAACUACAAAUUCUAUCCUCUUCCAGAAAGCAGAAGCAGAAGCAGAAAGUUAAUAUAUUCAAGACAAAAAUAACCUUAUAAUAAAUUUAUGAUUUUCAAACUAUCCCUUAUUAAUUUAAUUUUCCUUUUUUCUUUUCCUUUUUUUUUUCUGCUAUACAUUUGUUCUCUGUUUCAUUUUAAUCAAAUUUUUAUUCUCUUUCUCCUAUUCUUAAGAGUAGAUUUUAAAUUUAUAUUGAAUGAUGUAUUUUNNNNNNNNNNNNNNNNNNNNNNNNNNNNNNNNNNNNNNNNNNNNNNNNNNNNNNNNNNNNNNNNNNNNNNNNGACAUAUUUAAAUUAUCAUGUAAAUAANNNNUUCUCCUAUUCUUAAGAGUAGAUUUUAAAUUUAUAUUGAAUGAUGUAUUUUGACAUAUUUAAAUUAUCAUGUAAAUAAUAAGUAAUACCAAACAUUCAACAUUGUUGCUUUGGAAUAACUAUAUUUAUAUUAAUUAGAAUUUUUAAUUUAUAUUUCUUACUUUACGUUUUACAUUUUAAUUGAAUUCUUUUUCUACUAAAUGUUUAAAUUUUUUUUUUCUAAAUAAUACUAAUCGUGAGUUGAACCUUUACUGUCAUUUUUCGUAAUUUGAUGCUUAAAAGUACCUUUUUAAAAGAUUGUCCAAACACAAUGAGCUUACAAAAGGCACUACUCAAACGAGUCAGCCAAACACAAACUACUGAUUUUGCAAAAAUACCUUUUCCGUAAAGCACUUUUCAAAAUAAAUAUUUUUUGGCAGCUUGGCUAAACGGGCUCUUAAUCUAUUUUAACAAUUUUGUAAGUCAUAUCUUUCACCUAGGGAGCGUGGUUUGAACAAUUAAUUUAUGUUUAAGAGGGGCAGCAUAAUAUUUCAAUGUGUGAUUUACUUGCUAAGUGAAUUGCAAGAGAAGCAGGUGGGAAAGGGAAGUUCUUUUGAUCAAAGAGUCCAUUUGUCUAUUAACCAAUUCAAAAAAGAAAUAUUCAAUGUGAUCUCAAUUAGUACUCGGUUAUGUUACGAGAAAAUUGGAUUAGUAAGCUGGAAAAUUAGGUUGACUACUCGCUACAACAAAUUAAAUUACAAUGAGAAUAUAAAAAUUCUUUUACACCCUUGGUGUAUAUAAGUUAGAUCCAAAGAGAAAACGCAAUACACACAACUGCUCUUUUUCAUUGCCUCAAAGGUUCUUCAAACAAACCAUCUUUGGCUCUUUUACAACAGCUAGCAAAUGGACAAAGCCGGUAUUGAGAUCAUUGUAUUACUCCGUUUUGUUAAUGAUUACAUGUAAGAACAAAAUGCAAAAGGAAAACUUGAACUCACAAAAGGUGGAGAGAGGAGAAAGAGAAUUGAAUUUUACGUAAAUUUAGUCAAUAUAUCCAGGUCAAAAUGACAAGGUCUUCUAGACAAUAAACAAGCUGUGGCAU